GCCUCCGUAGCUCAGUUGGUAGAGCGUGAGCCUUUUAUAUGAGUAAUUGACUUGUGUAAGCUUAAGGUCCAGGGUUCGAGCCCCUGCGGAGGCG